GAAAGGCGCUUUCGGGUGUCGCUGAUGGAUGGACCCGCGGUGCAUUAGCUAGUUGGUGAGGUAACGGCUCACCAAGGCCACGAUGCAUAGCCGACCUGAGAGGGUGAUCGGCCACACUGGGACUGAGACACGGCCCAGACUCCUACGGGAGGCAGCAGUAGGGAAUCUUCGGCAAUGGACGAAAGUCUGACCGAGCAACGCCGCGUGAGUGAAGAAGGUUUUCGGAUCGUAAAACUCUGUUGUUAGAGAAGAACAAGGACGUUAGUAACUGAACGUCCCCUGACGGUAUCUAACCAGAAAGCCACGGCUAACUACGUGCCAGCAGCCGCGGUAAUACGUAGGUGGCAAGCGUUGUCCGGAUUUAUUGGGCGUAAAGCGAGCGCAGGCGGUUUCUUAAGUCUGAUGUGAAAGCCCCCGGCUCAACCGGGGAGGGUCAUUGGAAACUGGGAGACUUGAGUGCAGAAGAGGAGAGUGGAAUUCCAUGUGUAGCGGUGAAAUGCGUAGAUAUAUGGAGGAACACCAGUGGCGAAGGCGGCUCUCUGGUCUGUAACUGACGCUGAGGCUCGAAAGCGUGG
rnacentral:rRNA from 1 species